UAUAAGCAGUCCCCAAUUCCACAUCAGAUGCGUCUUCAAGUAGGGUCGACGGAUUUGGGAAGUCAAUCAAACAUGAAUCUGCUACUGGAGCUCGUAGUGAAACUUUCAUAGGUCUUCGACUUUUUCAGCGUCUGACUCCGAAGACAAUUAUGGGUUUGGACCACAUAAAGGUAACUCAGGUGAUUAUCAAUUUGUUGAUGGGAAAAUGGAUCGCGAAAACUUAGUGGGUUUGGAAGGUUCUACUGUCAAAGUCAGGCCAUCAUCUUUACAAUCUCAAGCUCCUGGUCCAACCAACAGCCCACUGAAUGGUAAUGUCUUUGAGCUGCUGGAGUCUCAAGUUUCUUCCCCAGCAAUUUCACCUGAUGAGAUCUAUAAAUUUGUCUUUGCACCUGUUGAGGAGGAGAUGGUGGGGGAGCCUUCGUACCUGGUUGCUAUCAUGUGAGUCUCGCGGGUAUGCUUGUUCAUUACUCAGGACCCCAGAAUCAUGCCAAGCAUGUAAAACUAUGGUCAUCCAAUUUUUUGCUCUUGGUAUUCUGUUUUAACUGUGCUCUGCAUGGAUUCAUGUGCAGAGCUUUCCAUGAUAUGUUAAAAUUUCAAAAUUGCUGUGACCAUUGCCAGUGCCCUAUUCUUACUGGUUCCACUUUGCAGUGCUAAUGUUGAAAAAAUCAAAGUACAUCCCAAUCUCUAUGUGUUGAUAAUCCAAUUACUGGCUCGCUGUGAGCGAUAUGCUGAACUUGGGUUGUUCAUCAUUAAUAAGAUUAUUGAACCCUCAAAAGAAGUAGCAUUGCAACUGCUAGAGUCAGGUCGACAGAAUGUAGAAACUAGGAAGCUGGGUCUGGACAUGCUAAGACAACUCAAUUUACAUCUUGAUUAUGUCGUGUUAUUAGCACAAGAUGGAUAUUAUCUAGAGGCGUUACGAUAUGCACGGAAGCAUAAGGUCACUACGAUCAGGCCUUCAUUGUUUCUUGAAGCAGCAGUUGCAUCCAAUGACCCACAACUUCUGGCUGCAAUUUUGAGAUUCUUUUCAGAUUUUACCCCUGGUUUUCAAAACACUUCCGAUCACUAUGCAUACUAUCACAUUCUGACCGAGAUGAACUCCUCAAUAGCUGCCUGAGGUUACAAGUAAGCAGAUAAAAUUGCAGACUUUAAG